UUCAUUGUAUAGCUUGUCAUCCCCUGAGGUCUAACCACAGUUUCCUUAAGCUUGCAGAAAAAACUUAUUUGAAAGCAAUAGUUUAAGAAGUUUUAGAAACAAAUCCAUUCUUUCUUAAAAUCCAAUGUUUUCAUUACCAAUUUUUAGCAGGAAAAAAAUAAGAAAAUUCACAUUUUUUUUCAGUGUCAAAAUUCAUUCAACAAACAUUUUCUGAAUAUAGGGUACAAGCCAGGCACUGAGCUGGGCAUUGAGGAUGAAGAGAUGAAACACAAUUCUAGCAUCUAAAUAGACCUUUGUUGGUGAGCGGCCUUGGGAAAGUCAUUUGCACCUCUCUGAGUCCCUGUGAAAUUAUGAAGGAAAAAUGUGCUAACAAUGUGAGAACUGAUGAUUAUUGUCAUAUGGACUCUUCAUUUUACACUAAAGGAAGUUGAGUUCCAGAGUGGGAUGUCAGACUCAAGGCCCAGACUUCACUUCUGGUCUCCUGACUUCCAAGUGAACAGUGUUACAGCUUCCCUGACUGCAGUUAUAAGAGAAGACAGGGAGGAGAUAAAGAUGAGAGUGACUCGGGAAGAGCAGGGAUGGAGGAGACAACCUGAGUCUUCUGAUCCAAAGGAGUGUGAAGAUGGAGUGACAUUGAGAGAACUGCAGAAGAAAGGGACUUGGCGUUUAUGGAGCAUACACCUGUACCAUCAUAUCAAAAUGCAACACAGCUAUUGCCUCUUGGAACAUUAUAAUAGAAUGGGGAAAUCAAGUAUAUAAAGAGUCGUGUGAAAUCGGCAGAACAAGCAUCAAUUUACAGAGGAGGAAACUGAGGUCCAGAGAGAUCAAUUAAACUGUCUAAAGUCACAUGGCCUGACAUAAAAGGAGUGGAGAGUCAAACUCAGGUCUAUGUACCUGGGGUGGUGGACUUCAUCUUUCUGAUCCUGCUUCCUCAUCUGUGAAGUGGGCAAACCAAUCAUUUUUACCCCAGAGAGCUGUGAAGAACCUGUAUCAGUUAUAUAGAAAGUUAAAGAACUUAUCGCAGUGCCUGGUAGGUGGGGACCUCUCAAUAAACAGCAGCUAUAACUAAGAUCCCAACCAAGGUCUCUUUCUACUAUAACCAGUGUCUGAGAGGAGGGCUUGGAGCUCACAUACAAGGUCUAUACAAAUAGACCUGAGAGGGUCUAUUUGCAGGCAGGUCGAGGUGCCCGGUUUACCUGAGCUGCCCCCCAAGCUGAGGUUCUGUGUCCCAUUCCCUCCCUGCCAGGCAUCAGCCUCUGUGUGGGAUGCAUUCUCAGGCAGGCUGUCUGAGGCAGCAGCUGCAGGAGGCAUA